rnacentral:rRNA from 1 species
CUCCUACGGGGGGCAGCAGUCGGGAAUAUUGCGCAAUGGAGGAAACUCUGACGCAGUGACGCCGCGUAUAGGAAGAAGGUUUUCGGAUUGUAAACUAUUGUCAUUAGGGAAGAAAAAAGACAGUACCUAAGGAGGAAGCUCCGGCUAACUACGUGCCAGCAGCCGCGGUAAUACGUAGGGAGCGAGCGUUAUCCGGAAUUAUUGGGUGUAAAGGGUGCGUAGACGGGAAAAUAAGUUAGUUGUGGAAUCCCUCGGCUCAACUAAGGAACUGCAACUAAAACUGUUAUUCUUGAGUGCAGGAGAGG